AGCCGCGGUAAUACGUAGGGCGCGAGCGUUGUCCGGAGUUACUGGGCGUAAAGGGCUCGUAGGCGGCUUGUCGCGUCGGCUGUGAAAGCCCACGGCUCAACCGUGGAAUUGCAGUCGAUACGGGCAGGCUAGAGGGCGGCAGAGGGGAGUGGAAUUCCCGGUGUAGCGGUGAAAUGCGCAGAUAUCGGGAGGAACACCGGUGGCGAAGGCGGCUCCCUGGGCCGUCCCUGACGCUGAGGAGCGAAAGCGUGGGGAGCGAACAGGAUUAGAUACCCUGGUAGUCCACGCCGUAAACGUUGGGCGCUAGGUGUGGGGAUCUUUUGUGAUCUCCGUGCCGUAGCUAACGCAUUAAGCGCCCCGCCUGGGGAGUACGGCCGCAAGGCUAAAACUCAAAGGAACUGACGGGGGCCCGCACAAGCGGCGGAGCAUGUUGCUUAAUUCGAUGCAACGCGAAGAACCUUACCAGGGCUUGACAUGCUGGGAAAUCCCGCAGAGAUGCGGGGUGCCUUCGGGCGUCCAGCACAGGAGGUGCAUGGCC
rnacentral:rRNA from 1 species